CCUACGGGAGGCAGCAGUGAGGAAUAUUGGUCAAUGGACGGAAGUCUGAACCAGCCAUGCCGCGUGCAGGAAGACGGCUCUAUGAGUUGUAAACUGCUUUUGUACAAGGGUAAACCUGAAUACGUGUAUUCAGCUGAAAGUACUGUACGAAUAAGGACAGGCUAACUCCGUGCUAGCAGCCGAGGUAAUACGGAGGAGCCAAGCGUUAUCCGGAUUGAUUGGGGUGAAGGGGUGCGUAGGUGGAUUGAUAAGUGAGAGGUGAAAUGUCCGGGCUUAACUCGGGAACUGCCUCUAAUACUGUUGAUCUAGAGAGUAGAUGCGGCAGGCGGAAUGUAUGGUGUAGCGGUGAAAUGCUGAGAGAUCAUACAGAACACCGAGUGCGAAGGCAGCUUACCAAUCUAUAUCUGACGUUGAGGCACGAAAGCGUGGGGAGCAAACAGGAUUAGAUACCCUGGUAGUC
rnacentral:rRNA from 1 species